CCUUCGGGAACUGUGAGACAGGUGCUGCAUGGCUGUCGUCAGCUCGUGUUGUGAAAUGUUGGGUUAAGUCCCGCAACGAGCGCAACCCUUAUCCUUUGUUGCCAGCGAUUAGGUCGGGAACUCAAAGGAGACUGCCAGUGAUAAACUGGAGGAAGGUGGGGAUGACGUCAAGUCAUCAUGGCCCUUACGACCAGGGCUACACACGUGCUACAAUGGCGCAUACAAAGAGAAGCGACCUCGCGAGAGCAAGCGGACCUCAUAAAGUGCGUCGUAGUCCGGAUUGGAGUCUGCAACUCGACUCCAUGAAGUCGGAAUCGCUAGUAAUCGUGGAUCAGAAUGCCACGGUGAAUACGUUCCCGGGCCUUGUACACACCGCCCGUCACACCAUGGGAGUGGGUUGCAAAAGAAGUAGGUAGCUUAACCUUCGGGAGGGCGCUUACCACUUUGUGAUUCAUGACUGGGGUGAAGUCGUAACAAGGUAACCGUAGGGGAACCUGCGGUUGGA
rnacentral:rRNA from 2 species